GACGAACGCUGGCGGCGUGCUUAACACAUGCAAGUCGAACGGAAAGGCCCUGCUUUUGUGGGGUGCUCGAGUGGCGAACGGGUGAGUAACACGUGAGUAACCUGCCCUUGACUUUGGGAUAACUUCAGGAAACUGGGGCUAAUACCGGAUAGGAGCUCCUGCUGCAUGGUGGGGGUUGGAAAGUUUCGGCGGUUGGGGAUGGACUCGCGGCUUAUCAGCUUGUUGGUGGGGUAGUGGCUUACCAAGGCUUUGACGGGUAGCCGGCCUGAGCGGGUGACCGGCCACAUUGGGACUGAGGUACGGCCCAGACUCCUACGGGAGGCAGCAGUGGGGAAUAUUGCACAAUGGGCGGAAGCCUGAUGCAGCAACGCCGCGUGCGGGAUGACGGCCUUCGGGUUGUAAACCGCUUUCGCCUGUGACGAAGCGUGAGUGACGGUAAUGGGUAAAGAAGCACCGGCUAGCUACGUG
rnacentral:rRNA from 1 species